rnacentral:rRNA from 1 species
AGCCAGACUCCUACGGGAGGCAGCAGUGGGGAAUAUUGGGCAAUGGGCGCAAGCCUGACCCAGCGACGCCGCGUGAGGGAAGACGGUCUUCGGAUUGUAAACCUCUUUCAGCAGGGAAGACAAAAGGACGGUACCUGCAGAAGAAGCCACGGCUAACUACGUGCCAGCAGCCGCGGUAAUACGUAGGUGGCAAGCGUUAUCCGGAUUUACUGGGUGUAAAGGGCGUGUAGGCGGGAUGGUAAGUCAGAUGUGAAAACUAUGGGCUCAACCCAUAGCCUGCAUUUGAAACUAUCGUUCUUGAGUGUUGGAGAGGCAGGCGGAAUUCCGUGUGUAGCGGUGAAAUGCGUAGAUAUUAGGAGGAACACCAGUGGCGAAGGCGGCUUACUGGACUGUAACUGACGUUGAGGCUCGAAAGCGUGGGGAGCAAACAGGAUUAGAUACCCCCGUAAA